rnacentral:rRNA from 1 species
AGAGUUGAUCGUGGCUCAGGACGACGCUGGCGGCGUGCCUAACACAUGCAAGUCGAGCGAGGAGAUCCUCGGGAUGAUCCUAGCGGCGGACGGGUGAGUAACACGUGGGCAACCUGCCUCAUAGAGAGGAAUAGCCUUCCGAAAGGGAGAUUAAUACCUCAUAACAUUGCAGUUUCGCAUGGAACAGCAAUUAAAGGAGUAAUCCGCUAUGAGAUGGGCCCGCGGCGCAUUAGCUAGUUGGUGAGGUAACGGCUCACCAAGGCGACGAUGCGUAGCCGACCUGAGAGGGUGAUCGGCCACAUUGGGACUGAGACACGGCCCAGACUCCUACGGGAGGCAGCAGUGGGGAAUAUUGCACAAUGGGGGAAACCCUGAUGCAAGCAACGCCGCGUGAGUGAUGACGGCCUUCGGGUUGUAAAGCUCUGUCUUCAGGGACGAUAAUGACGGUACCUGAGGAGGAAGCCACGGCUAACUACGUGCCAGCCGCUGC